rnacentral:rRNA from 1 species
AGGUUAAGCACUUAAGGUGUGGAGCCGUAGCGAAAGCGAGUCUUAAAUGGGCGUUUAGUUAGUUGACGUAGACCCGAAACCGGGCGACCUAUCCAUGAGCAGGUUGAAGCGAAAGUAAAAUUUCGUGGAGGACCGAACCCACGAGCGUUGAAAAGCUCGGGGAUGACUUGUGGAUAGCGGUGAAAUUCCAAUCGAGCCCGGAGAUAGCUGGUUCUCCCCGAAAUAGCUUUAGGGCUAGCCUCAAGCGUAGAGAAACGGAGGUAGAGCACUGAAUGUCCUAGGGGGUAUUGCACUUACCGAAGACUAUCAAACUCCGAAUGCCGUAUUCUUAUACUUGGGAGUCAGACUAUGGGUGAUAAGAUUCAUAGUCAAGAGGGCAACAGCCCAGAUCGUCAGCUAAGGUCCCUAAAUGUACGUUAAGUGGUAAAGGAUGUGGGAUUGCACAGACAACCAGGAUGUUGGCUUAGAAGCAGCCACUCAUUUAAAGAGUGCGUAAUAGCUCACUGGUCGAGUGAUCCUGCGCCGAAAAUUUCCGGGGCUAAAACGUACUACCGAAGCUACGGCAUCAUUAUGAUGGGUAGGGGAGCUUCGUAUGCAGGUUGAAGCAUGACCGUAAGGACAUGUGGACAGUAUACGAGUGAGAAUGUUGGCAUGAGUAGCGAGAUGUGGGUGAGAAUCCCACAGGCCGUAAACCCAAGGUUUCCAGGGGAAGGUUCGUCCGCCCUGGGUUAGUCAGGACCUAAGCCGAGGCCGAAAGGCGUAGGUGAUGGACAACAGGUUGAUAUUCCUGUACCACCAAUAACCGUUUGAGAAAUGGGAUGACACAGUAGGAUAAGCUAACCGCACUGUUGGUUAUGUGCGGGCAAGUAUUGAGGCAGUUCUAAUAGGCAAAUCCGUUAGAAUAAUGCUGGGGUACGAUGCGGAGCGAAAUUUAGUAGCGAAGUAGCUGAUUUCACACUGUCGAGAAAAGUCUCUAUCGAGGUUAAAGGUGCCUGUACCGCAAACCGACACAGGUGGGUGAGGAGAGUAUCCUAAGGCCAGCGAGAGAACUGUUGUUAAGGAACUCGGCAAAAUGACCCCGUAACUUAGGGAGAAGGGGUGCCAUCGAAAGAUGGCCGCAGAGAAUAGGCCCAAGCGACUGUUUACCAAAAACAUAGGUUUCUGCUAAGUCGCAAGACGAUGUAUAGGAGCUGACGCCUGCCCGGUGCUGGAAGGUUAAGGGGAUCUGUUAGAGCAAUCGAAGCAGUGAACUUAAGCCCCAGUAAACGGCGGCCGUAACUAUAACGGUCCUAAGGUAGCGAAAUUCCUUGUCGGGUAAGUUCCGACCCGCACGAAAGGCGUAACGAUUUGGGCACUGUCUCAACAACAGACUCGGUGAAAUUGUAAUACCGGUGAAGAUGCCGGUUACCUGCGACAGGACGGAAAGACCCCAUGGAGCUUUACUGUAGCUUGACAUUGAGUCUCGGUGCUACAUGUACAGGAUAGGUGGGAGGCUAUGAAGCAUGGACGUCAGUCUGUGUGGAGCCAUCCUUGGGAUACCACCCUUGUAGUACUGGGAUUCUAACCAGCUGCCUUGAAUCAGGUAGUGGGACACUGUCAGGUGGACAGUUUGACUGGGGCGGUCGCCUCCUAAAAAGUAACGGAGGCGCUCAAAGGUUCUCUCAGUACGGUCGGAAAUCGUGCGAAGAGUGUAAAGGCAAAAGAGAGCUUGAUUGCAAGACAUACAGGUCGAGCAAGGACGAAAGUCGGACUUAGUGAUCCGGUGGUACCGCAUGGAAGGGCCAUCGCUCAACGGAUAAAAGCUACCCUGGGGAUAACAGGCUGAUCUCCCCCAAGAGUCCACAUCGACGGGGAGGU